rnacentral:rRNA from 1 species
GCCUGCCCUGUGACUAUAAGUUUAACGGCCGCGGUAUUUUAACCGUGCGAAGGUAGCGUAAUCACUUGUCUUUUAAAUGAAGACCUGUAUGAAUGGCAUCACGAGGGCUUAGCUGUCUCCCAUCUCCAGUCAAUGAAAUUGACCUCCCCGUGCAGAGGCGGGGAUAAUUACAUAAGACGAGAAGACCCUAUGGAGCUUUAGACCUAAAGUAAGUCACGUUUAACAUGCUAAAAUAACAGAAAAAACUUAGUGAUAUUUACUGAAGUGUCUUUGGUUGGGGCGACCGCGGGGUAAAACACAACCCCCAUGUGGACCGGGGAUAUUAUCCCUAAUACUCAGAGCCUCUACUCCAAGUAACAGAAAUUCUGACUUUUCUGAUCCGGUAUAACCGAUCAACGAACCGAGUUACCCUAGGGAUAACAGCGCAAUCCCCUCUCAGAGCCCAUAUCGACGAGGGGGUUUACGACCUCGAUGUUGGAUCAGGACAUCCUAAUGGUGCAGCCGCUAUUAAGGGUUCGUUUGUUCAACGAUUAAAGUCCUACGUGA